AGAACGAACGCUGGCGGCAGGCUUAACACAUGCAAGUCGAACGCUCCUAGCAAUAGGGGAGUGGCAGACGGGUGAGUAACGCGUGGGAACAUACCCUCCGGUUCGGAAUAACUCAGGGAAACUUGAGCUAAUACCGGAUCCGCCCCCGGACUUGAUCCGGGGGGAAAGAUUUAUCGCCGGAGGAUUGGCCCGCGUCCGAUUAGCUAGUUGGUGUGGUAAUGGCGCACCAAGGCGACGAUCGGUAGCUGGUCUGAGAGGAUGAUCAGCCACAUUGGGACUGAGACACGGCCCAAACUCCUACGGGAGGCAGCAGUGGGGAAUAUUGGACAAUGGGCGCAAGCCUGAUCCAGCCAUGCCGCGUGAGUGAUGACGGCCUUAGGGUUGUAAAGCUCUUUUGUGCGGGAAGAUAAUGACGGUACCGCAAGAAUAAGCCCGGCUAACUUCGUGCCAGCAGCCGC
rnacentral:rRNA from 1 species